UUCCUUUCCUCCCAAAAUUUCCCAAUCCCCCUCCCCUAAAUUCCACAUUCGUUCAUAACCCUAACCAUCGAGCCCUAACCCUCGUUCUCUUCACGCGUGACCCUUCCAUGGAGCCUUCUUCCUAACCCCAUUUCCCAACCCAUCCAUGGAGCCUAACCCUCUCUCCUAGCCACGCACUUUCCUCCCCUCACGCACGACGCCACCCUGACCAGCAACUGUCACCACACACCAGCCUCAGAGACACCUCGGCCCUCAGCGGAACUCCUCGGUUGAUGAUGGACGAGUGAUGACUGAUCCUCAGAGAUACCAGCUUCUCGGUGACUACUGAUGCUUUUCUGCUUGGUCUGGUCACCUUCUUCAUCUCUGUUAGCUUCGCCACUUCUUCUCUGCUCUCUUCUUCGAUCGUCCUCUUCUUCUCUUCUCAGGUGGUUCACUAUUUCUAUUUGAUCGAACGGUUUUGAGAUACUUCAGAAAGGAUGGGCAUAAUUGGAGAAAGAAAAAACAUGGAAAAACUGUAAAAGAAGCUCAUGAAAAAUUGAAGGGGUUGUGGUAUUUUUCAAUCAAAUUUAGGUGGGAAGUGUUGACGUGUUGCAUUGCUACUAUGCCCAUGGUGAAAAAAAUGAAAAAUUUCAGAGACAAAGCUAUUGGAUGCUGCAACCGUGAGUAUUAUGAAAAUUGCUGUCAUAUUUCACCUUUAUUUGUUUAUUUAUUCGAAUGGCUUUUCCUUGAAAGGUUCAGAAAACCUGAUCACCUCUAUUGAGGUAAGUGAGAGGACACAAUGGGAGUUUUCAUGGAGGGAAAAUUCUGUGACUAUAUAGUUGUCUUUUUUUUUUUUUAAAUCAGAAGGCCAUUAGUUUUUGGUUUUUGGGUGCCAUCUCAGCUCAAUGUACAUUCUUUUAUGUUCCUCUCUGCAUGGUUGAAUGGUUAGUGAUCUAAAUUUUCUGCAUCAAACGUAAGUGCUGAAUUUGAAUUUGUCAAAAUAUUGAUAUCAUACAUGUUAUGACAUUUGAAACCAUAACAAGGACUUCCUUCUCUCCUAUCCUUGACUUAGCAUCUCAGCCAUCAAUGGCUUGCUUUGUUCUGUGUUGGUUCACUAAUGAUGAAGGCUUCACUUCAUUGUAAUAUAAAGUAAAGGAACUCACUAUUGGAGUUACAAUUUGAUUUUGAUGGUGAAUUGUGAGAGAAGUUUUCUGCAUGUCUUGUCCAUCAGAAUUCACCUCAGUUGUAGUCUUAACUCAUGAUCAUUGUUUCUUCAAAUUUGGCACUGCUCUAUUUUAUAAGUUUUUCCUUCCAAUUAUUAUUUUUUUCUUGUAUCAUGUGACUGCUUUUCCUGCAUGGUUCUCUUUCGCAAGCAUUUGGAUUGGAUGAGGAGUGAUUGAUGGUUUGGGUGGGGGCUUAUUGGCUGCAUGGUUGAAGUUAAUGUUUGUAUUUCAAAUGCUAUCUUGAUUUUUUUAAAAACAAACUAUAAUAUCGCAACCUCUCAAUUUUACUAGAGUUGAUUUUGAUGUUUGGAUGAUGGACUGCAUGUCCAAGUUGUAAAAUGCACGGUGAAAAAUAUUGCAGUUGACAUCUCUUUCAAUCAGAUGGCUGGACUUUGUGCUUUGCACUUUCUUGAGCAGGUGAAAUCUAAUUUGUGCUAAUUCCCUACUAUUCAUGUUGAGUUCUUGAUGCUAUGGUUCUUUGAAAUGAUUGUUUCUCAACUUUUUAUUUUUUUAACCAAAUCUGACUACAAUUCAUUUCUUUUUCCUGUUAAUAUGGUGACUUGCUAAUUCUAGUUUUAUAUUUUUGUUAAUAUGGUGACUUGCUAAUUCUAGUUUUAUAUUUUUGUUAAUAUGGUGACUUGCUAAUUCUAGUUUUAUAUUUUUGUUAAUAUGGUGACUUGCUAAUAUUACAUUACAAUUUGCAAUUUAGUGUAGUACUACUAAUGUUUAGCUCAAGGAAUUAUCUUUUGUAGGUAAAAAAGUUCACAAAUGUUCCAGAAAUAAUUAUGUAUGAUCUAAGGGAAGGAAGUUUAAAAGGGCUAGAGGAAGGAGGAACAACAAAGGAAAUAGAAUUUAAGUUGUAUUGUUUCUGUAUUUUUUUUUCAGUUUUUAGUUUUGGAACUCGACGAGAUUUAUUUUGUAUUGAGUACUAGUUUUUUAAUGUAUAAAACAAUUAUCGCAAAAAUUAUAUAUCACUAAUUAUUGUUUGAUAUAUCUUGUACAAAAAAUUGCAUACUAUAUUUGUAGGUUUGGUAAUAAAAAAAGAUUGAAAAUUUAUAUUUUGCAGCGGUGAAGGUAUCCUUUUUCUUUAAAUUUUAUAAGGCUAUUGCCACGUUUUUAAAGUGUGGCCGUAUCACUGGCUAUUGCCAUGCUUAAAAAAAGUGUAGCCAUAUUUUUCCCUA